rnacentral:lncRNA from 1 species
UUCAUCCAAAGUCACCAAGCAAUCAACAUGUUUCCAGAGCGUAAAAAAAUGUUCCCCCAGCUCCCAAAAAUAAAGUUGCAGCCUAAUACUUCAUAAAAGUGACGGCUGGCUCAUUGCAAGGGCCGUGUGUCCUCCUAAAUUAGGGUGGGGCCCACUCUAAAAAUAAAAGGAAACCCUAGGGUAAGUAUUCUACAAUUUUGGGCCCCUCAUAAAUUUUUAACAAUGGGCCAAUGUGCAAAGGUUUGUCCAAAAAGUUUAAACAAUAAAAAUUACAAUACAAUGAAAUUUAAAAUGUCUAAUUUGAGAGUCUUCAAUUUAU